GUCCCCAUUAACUGCUAUUCACCCUCUUAUCCAGAUCGUUAUCCACUCCUUUGUCUGUCCGACUGUUCUUCUCUCUCUUUGGGCUCUAUUUCCACCUAUGUUUACUCCUUAUGCUGCCAAAUGCUGCCAGACCUGCUGAGUUAAUGAGGUGUGGUUGGAAUGACAACUUGAGAAAACUCACAGGUCUCACAGAGAGAAACCCUCCAUAAAAUUCAACGAUAAUGACAAUUUGCCACACUAUGAUAAAGUUCAGUUCCUUUUGUACUAUAUUCAACUGCCAGUGAACAUUCAUCAUAUAUCUUAUCUUCAAAUAAGGGAGAAUAAUGAGAUAAGACCAUAAGAUACAGGAGUAAAAUUAGGCCAUUCGGUCCAUCAAGUCUGCUCUGCCAUUUGAUAUUUUUGAUAUGCUUCUCAAUUCUAUUCUCCUGCCCUCUCACUGUAACCUUUGAUCCCUUUACCUAAUUGUUGUGAGUAAUUCACCAAAAGUUACCUUUAAUUCAGCUACUUAUUAAGAAAUCUCAAAGACAAUCAAAUACUGAAACAAUGAUUUAAACUUUACUGCAUGUAGCAAUCCAAAUAAGAUCCCGCAGUAAGCAAGUUAAGCCUAGCAACCGAACUUGGCUAUUAUCUAAUUAAGGGUGGAACUUGGAUAGAUUAUGCCAACAGUGUCUGUCUCUGGAAGUGCCCAGGAUUUGAUUUUUGUAUAGUGUUGUUCUUCAAAGUUCUGCUACUGACUUGUUCUGCUGUUGGAUUCUUAUACAAUUUUCUGUCUUUCAAGUUUGUAGUUUGACAUUAUUGAUGAUUCAAUAGAUUAUAAACUUCAGAACUUUAAUAACUGUUCAUAGAUCAAAUGAAUCAACAAAAGAUAAACUGCUACACAUGAAAAGAAGCGAGCAAUAAGUCUGUCUGGAAUAAACUUUUAAAGGUCAAGGACAAACCUCUACAGGAAUUGAAAGCCAUUAGCCAUGUCUUGGAAAGGAACAAGUCGACAUUACAGAGACAAAACUGCUUUGACAUUGUUUGAUAAACUGGAUACUUUACUGUCACAAAGGACAAGGAUUGCCCUGCAGAAGGAUUUAAAGAAUUAAUCACAUGAAAGCUGUGACUUCAAACAGGCAGUCAAUGCCAAAUCUGUCAAGGAACAAAGAAGCUACUUCUGAUAAGAAGGCAAGAUAGCAGAUUUAGACUAUAGUAAUUUGGAUGAAAGGACUUUAAGGAAUCAUCAAUACAUCACCUCACAGAUCCAAAGACAAAAAUCUGUAUAAGAAUCGAACAAGGUAACUCCACCUUCAGGAGAAUUUCAAAGAAUGACAUUAUAUCCUUUCAGGCUGAUUCGAGAUUGGUCCUUUACCUUGGCACCAGGCAACACAACAUGUGGACUCUCAAUCCUGCUCACAAAGGACGCUAUCUGUUCCCUAAUUAUAGAAUCUCCCACCUCUAUUACUUGUCUUUGUAAUCCCCCAACUUGAAUGGCUUCCUGCAACACAGUGCAGUGAUCGGUUUGACCAUCCUCUCAGCAGACACUUUCUUCAUCCAUUCAGAGAGCAAGUACCUCAUACCUGCUGGUGAACAACAGGAAAGGCAAACAAUAGCAGCUGUCUGGAGCCGACAUAUGCUGCGCCCACAGUGUACAACAACAAGAUGUGAUGCUACGCUAGGUGUUAAAGAAAGAGUCGCACUCCACAGACGUUUCUAAUGUGGUAUGGAGCUAAGGCUGCCUGUAUCUUCAACAAGCAUGAGCGUACUGCGAAGGAUGAUUUGUGGCUGCCGAUGAAAACCCUGGUUCACAGCCUGGCUUUAAAUAUAGCACAUGCAGCAGGAAUCCUGAAAGUUCUCUGCAACAAUGGGUACCUCUAUUGCUGGUGAGCAUGAGGGCGGUGCCAUAGAGAUAUGGCAUGUGCAUAAUGAGGUGAGCAGCUUAUAUAUGCGUCGGAAAUCCUUCUGGUGCUCACAGAGAUAAACCUUCUAUGAAACUUCCCAAAAUUUACACUUAGCCAAUUUUUUGUAAAAUUCAGCCCUAUAAAUAUGGUGAAAGGGAGAUGAUGUAGCAUUGGGCCUGGAAUUUGUUGUACUGGCUAUAUUGACACUGCGCAAAUUUGAGUGUUGUGCUUUCUGUAUUCCCGACGGUGAUUACAGUGAUUAAUUUGCUAGAUUUUUAAAAAUUUCUUGGAGAUGUCACUGGCUAGGUCAGCAUGUAUUGCCCAUCCCUAAUUGUCCAGAGGCUACAUAAGGAUCUGGAUUACAUAUGAACCAGAUCUGGUAAGUCUGGCAGAUUUCCUUCCCUAAACGGCAUUACUGAAUAAGACAGAUGUUUAUUACAAUUGACAUUAGUUACAUAGUCAUAGUAAGGUAUAUUUUUAAUUCCAGAUUUGAAUUGCACUUAAGAUUUCACCAUCUGCCACAUCAGGAUUUGAACUUGUGUCCCUAGAGUAUUAGCCUGGGCUUUUUGUAUUAUCAGCUCAGUGACAUUACCACGAUGUCACAACUUCCUGCAAUUAGAAGCUACUGUAGCAAACUGAGCAGUGGAUCAGGAGUAAUGCAGAAAUGGUUAAAGUAGAAUCUCUGCCAUGUAUCCAACACAGGCCCAGAAAUAGUUAAAACAGUUAUUUGAAGAUGGAACCGAUGGUCAUAGCAAACUGAUUUGUUUCAGGGUCUGUUUGUAUAUCUGUCUCUUUUAGAUGGCGUGUUGACCUAUCCUCACCCUUGUCCCCUGUUCCUCUUGCCAGUUCUUCAAACAAUAUAUAGAAAUCACAGCCUUUUAGUCUUCCAUUGCUCAAGCAGUCUCUAAUAUUCUAGUGGUGUAUCUGAUUUAGUGUUUAGAUGUUAAUAAGAUGUAAAUGAACGGUUUAUAAUCACAAAUGAACACAUUCACAAACGUGGGUUAACGAUUCAAAAGACUAACAAAUUACAUUCAGAUGGUACUUUAAAAUUAUGAUCAGCGGUCCAUUCCUGCCAGAUAUGUGUAGUUUCUAAUACUCUGUACUUCACAUCAGUGAGCACUGACAGUAGCAGAAUGGCCCUACUGAAUUAAAAAGAGGAACCAAAUGAGGGCAGUAAAAUUAUGUUUUAAUUUAAAUCAUAAAUUAUUAUUUCUGUAAUUAUGCUAAAUGCGCUGAGCCCAGCAGCCCCAUUUCACAUUGAUUUUAAUAGCUGAGGCAAUCACAGUGGUGUUGAAUUAAUCCAUUUGAUUUUACCAUUGAUUUUAAUAGGGAAAAAAUAUGAUAAUGAGCUGUUCAAUCAAGGGUUUCUGUGGCAGUAGGUGGGAGUCUUAGCAAAUUGUGGCAUGUCUAUAGGUGGUAUAAAUCACAGACCAUAAUUUUCUAGAAUUCCUGCGACAUGUAGAUGUGCAAUUAGUAUAGUGCAAUUUUUCAACAAAUUCAGGCCUCAUUGGAAAACAAAAUUUGAAUACAGACACCAGAAGGAAAACUGGUGUUCUAAGUGUUCUAAGCUGUGUUGGAGAGGGUAUGUGGAACAGUAUAGUUAUUGUAUGUUCUUGAUGUUCCUUAGAUAUUAACUUAUACAGUGUAGUCAACUUUGUCAUCCAUGUAUGUCGUAUUUAGCAUGUGACUAUGCUGUGCAAAAUCUAAUCAUAAUAGCAUAGCUUGAAGUUAUAACAGUAGGACAACUUUGUGAUCAGAAAUUAAUAUUGUGGGAAUGAAAUUCAUCCAGUCCCACAAAACUGACUGUUAGCAAAUCAACAACAACAAAAUAAAAGCUGUGAGAAACUGUUCUGCUGAUUCACUACUCUUCCAUUUUGCAUGGCUGCGAGUGACCAACUUCACCAUCUGGAAAGUUCCGAGGCAGGGGAAGCAGGUCUGGCUGCUGCUGAAACAUCGGGUUGAGAUGGAAGCACGAGUGCAGCUGCUGAACACAGCUUAUUCAGGAUGUACAAUCUUAAGAUGGUUCUUCAAUCACUCUUUCAAAAGAACAAAUAGGUUCCACCCUGAAUUCAACAAAAGAAUAUUCCUUUCAGAAAUGAGAGUGAUCAACUUAUUCUCAGCAGGCUUUCUUCCACAUGAAGCAGACAAAACAAGGGUCUCUCCAAGCCAUGCAUUCUGAAGAAGGGUCUAGGCCGGAAACAUCAGCUUUCCUGCUCCUCUGAUGUUGCUCGGCCUGCUGUGUUCAUCCAGCUCUACAACUUGUUAUCUCUCCAAGCCAUGCCCUAUUCAAACCAGCUCCAGCAGGGUCAACAGCAAGGCAACCAGUGUAACCAGUCAUGUAAUUUACAGGAAGUCUUGUGAAAGAUAUAUUGCCAAUGCCCAUAGUGAGCUUCCAAUGUGCUACUUUAAAGAAACCAUUCCAGGUAUUUCCACAAAACUUGAAAUAAAGCAAUUUCCUUCUAAAUGUAAGUCCUCCAAGCAACAACUAUAGAGCAUCUUUGUAACAAUGUCCUGAGAUAUUAACAAAGUUUAGUAGUUUUCUGGAUUCUAAGGAGUCUCUCUUUUCAAUCCUGUCCCAUCUCACGAGGAUGAUUCUUUUAUUUUUCUCACUUCUACCUAGCUACUGGAUCUCUGUAAAACCUAAGGAAGCAUGGCUUCCCUCCAAUUCAGGACAAAGGAGCAGUGCUUCAAAAGUUUGUGAUUUCAAAUA